rnacentral:lncRNA from 1 species
CUUCUCCGACCCCACUUCCAAGAUGCGCCACCUGGAGACCCACGACACGGACAAGGAGCACAAGUGCCCACACUGCGACAAGAAGUUCAACCAGGUGUGCGGACCCCUCCCGGAACCAGCGCCUGGCAGCCGCCGGUGGCCGCAGCCGCAUGCAUGCCACGUGGUGGGGCGGGCGGGGAGCACAGCCCCGGCCUCCAGGAGCUCAUCAGCUUGUUCACCCAGGAAACAGGCGCAGCGAGAGCCACUUCCGCGGGGGAGCUCCCGGUUGCUCUGCGGAGGGCAGGCCGACUCAGGGCGGGGUUUGGUCCUGAAAAAAUGGGGUGGGGCGGCUUACCUCUCACCGCUGGGACCUGGGACCUCUCCUGACCCAGGAGAGAUAGAGCCCUUCACGGACCCUGGCAAGCCUGAGAGUCAAUUGUUCCUUUGUGGGAGGGGCAGGUGAGGGGGCCCGGGGCCGAGCUCUGUGGGGUGGCCCCCCUGACCCCUCCCUGGGCACAGGUAGGGAACCUGAAGGCCCACCUGAAGAUCCACAUCGCUGACGGGCCCCUCAAGUGCCGAGAGUGUGGGAAGCAGUUCACCACCUCAGGGAACCUGAAGCGGCACCUUCGGAUCCACAGCGGGGAGAAGCCCUACGUGUGCAUCCACUGCCAGCGACAGUUUGCAGACCCCGGCGCUCUGCAGCGGCACGUCCGCAUUCACACAGGUGAGAAGCCAUGCCAGUGUGUGAUGUGCGGUAAGGCCUUCACCCAGGCCAGCUCCCUCAUCGCCCACGUGCGCCAGCACACCGGGGAGAA